rnacentral:rRNA from 1 species
ACGUAGGGGGCAAGCGUUGUCCGGAUUUAUUGGGCGUAAAGCGCGCGCAGGUGGGUUGCCAAGUCAGUUGUGAAAUUUUAGGGCUUAACCCUAAAGGGUCAACUGAAACUGGCAAGCUAGAGUGCAGCAGAGGAAAGCGGAAUUCCCGGUGUAGUGGUGAAAUGCGUAGAUAUCGGGAGGAACAUCAGUGGCGAAGGCGGCUAUCUGGACCAACACUGACACUGAGGUACGAAAGCGUGGGUAGCAAACA